AGAAUAUAAGAAAGCGUUUCUUAACUUUUAACUAAAAAGAUUAAGAACCGACUCUUAAAUAAGAUAUUUAAGAACCGGUUCUUAAUUUUUUUAAUUAAAAAUUAAGAGACGAUUUUUUAUAUUCC
rfam:Brassica napus, WGS project CCCW01000000 data, contig: 20056